UAAAACGGUGAACCGGAGAGCACAAAUCUUC
rnacentral:piRNA from 1 species